rnacentral:rRNA from 1 species
UGAGGAAUAUUGGUCAAUGGACGAGAGUCUGAACCAGCCAAGUAGCGUGAAGGAUGAAGGUUCUAUGGAUUGUAAACUUCUUUUAUACGGGAAUAAACGGAUCCACGUGUGGAUUUUUGCAUGUACCGUAUGAAUAAGGAUCGGCUAACUCCGUGCCAGCAGCCGCGGUAAUACGGAGGAUCCGAGCGUUAUCCGGAUUUAUUGGGUUUAAAGGGAGCGUAGAUGGGUUGUUAAGUCAGUUGUGAAAGUUUGCGGCUCAACCGUAAAAUUGCAGUUGAUACUGGCAGUCUUGAGUACAGUUGAGGUAGGCGGAAUUCGUGGUGUAGCGGUGAAAUGCUUAGAUAUCACGAAGAACUCCGAUUGCGAAGGCAGCUUACUAACCUGUAACUGACAUUGAUGCUCGAAAGUGUGGGUAUCAAACAGGAUUAGAUACCCUGGUAGUCCACACGGUAAACGAUGAAUACUCGCUGUAGGCGAUAUACAGUCUGCGGCCAAGCGAAAGCAUUAAGUAUUCCACCUGGGGAGUACGCCGGCAACGGUGAAACUCAAAGGAAUUGACGGGGGCCCGCACAAGCGGAGGAACAUGUGGUUUAAUUCGAUGAUACGCGAGGAACCUUACCCGGGCUUAAAUUGCAACCGAAUAUGGCGGAAACGCUAUAGCUAGCAAUAGCGGUUGUGAAGGUGCUGCAUGGUUGUCGUCAGCUCGUGCCGUGAGGUGUCGGCUUAAGUGCCAUAACGAGCGCAACCCUUGCCGAUAGUUACUAACAGGUCAUGCUGAGGACUCUGUCGGGACUGCCAUCGUAAGAUGUGAGGAAGGUGGGGAUGACGUCAAAUCAGCACGGCCCUUACGUCCGGGGCUACACACGUGUUACAAUGGGGGGUACAGAGGGCUGCUACCACGCAAGUGGAUGCCAAUCCCAAAAACCUCUCUCAGUUCGGAUUGAAGUCUGCAACCCGACUUCAUGAAGCUGGAUUCGCUAGUAAUCGCGCAUCAGCCACGGCGCGGUGAAUACGUUCCC